AUUCUUCUUCAACAGAGGAGCAAACUGCCAAUUACCCACAAAAAAUAAAAGAGAGAGAAUAUUCCACCCACAAUCAUUCACGCAACUCAUUUAUACCUCCAGAGAUGUCUGCCUGCUGAUGGGAGAUGAACUGUAGAACAGAAGAAGGAGACAUCAAUGGGGUCGGCUCGCACUCGUAUUCAAGUGCUCUCACUCUUCCGUUCACUCCUGCGGACGGCGCGUCAGUUCACGGACUACAACAUAAGGGAGUAUGCAAAUCGCCGAGUUCUCGACGCCUUCCGCCAUAAUCGCCGCCUGUCCGACCCGGUGGAGGCGGAAGCCGCCUUUGCCGACGGGAAGUCGCAGCUCGGGGUCGCCCAACGGCAGGCCGUCGUCUAUUCGCUCUACUCACCCCGCGUCAAGAGCGUUAUGGAAAUUAAACUCUAGUGAUAUCAUGUAUAUCUGCCGUUUCAAGUCUAAUUAGUUUCAGGACAUGAUGAAGGGAAAAAGAAAGAAGAAGAUAUUGUGGAGAAGAAGAGAAGGAAACCACCAUUUCAUUUCCAGUAGAGGAUCGGUAAAUACAAUUCAUAAUGUAUGAGAUAUCGAUGUUUACUGCCCCAUCCCUUACUCUCGACCAAAGACAAACACUUAGAAUAACAUACGAAUGUGGAAUGAAAAUCAAUGAAAAUAAUUUGAAGCUGCUA